GACGAACGCUGGCGGCGUGUCUAAUACAUGCAAGUAGAACGCACAGUUUAUACCUUAGCUUGCUACACCAUAAACUGUGAGUUGCGAACGGGUGAGUAACGCGUAGCUAACCUGCCUGGUAGCUGGGGAUAACUAUUGGUAACGCUAGCUAAUACCUCAUACUAUUUAUUAUUGCAUGGUAAUUUUUUGAAAGAUGCUAUUGCAUCACUACCUGUUGGCCCUUCGUUGUAUUAGCUAGUAGGUGAGGUAACGGCUCACCUAGGCGACGAUACAUAGCCGACCUGAGAGGGUGAUCGGCCACACUGGGAGGGAGACACGGCCCAGACUGCUACGGGAGGCAGCAGGAGGGAAUCGUCGGGAAUGGACGAAAGUCAGACCGAGAAACGCCGCGGGAGUGAAGAAGGUUGUCGGAUGGUAAAGCACUGUUGUAAGGGAAGAACGGGUGUGAGAGUGGAAAGUACAGAGUGUGACGGUAUCGUACAAGAAAGGGACGGCUAACUACGUG
rnacentral:rRNA from 1 species